rnacentral:rRNA from 1 species
CACGUAGGGUGCAAGCGUUGUCCGGAAUUAUUGGGCGUAAAGGGCGCGUAGGCGGCUCGGCACGUCCGUUGUGAAAUCGCCCGGCUCAACUGGGCGGGGUCAGCGGAUACGGUCGAGCUUGAGCAAGCUAGGGGGCAAUGGAAUUCCCGGUGUAGUGGUGGAAUGCGUAGAUAUCGGGAGGAACACCAGUGGCGAAGGCGGUUGCCUGGGGCUUUGCUGACGCUGAUGCGCGAAAGCGUGGGGAGCGAUCCGG